rnacentral:rRNA from 1 species
UACGAAGGGGGCUAGCGUUGUUCGGAAUUACUGGGCGUAAAGGGCGCGUAGGCGGCGUGUCAAGUCAGGCGUGAAAGCCCCGGGCUCAACCUGGGAACCGCGCUUGAGACUGGCAUGCUCGAGUUCGGGAGAGGAUGGUGGAAUUCUCAGUGUAGAGGUGAAAUUCGUAGAUAUUGGGAAGAACACCGAUGGCGAAGGCAGCCAUCUGGACCGACACUGACGCUGAGGCGCGAAAGCGUGGGGAGCAAACAGG